UACGUAGGGGGCAAGCGUUGUCCGGAAUCAUUGGGCGUAAAGAGCGUGUAGGCGGUCCGGUAAGUCGGCUGUGAAAGUCCAGGGCUCAACCCUGGGAUGCCGGUCGAUACUGCCGGACUAGAGUUCGGAAGAGGCAAGUGGAAUUCCCGGUGUAGCGGUGAAAUGCGCAGAUAUCAGGAAGAACACCGACGGCGAAGGCAGCUCGCUGGGACGGUACUGACGCUGAGGCGCGAAAGCGUGGGGAGCGAACAGG
rnacentral:rRNA from 1 species